rfam:Gorilla gorilla gorilla genomic chromosome, chr15, whole genome shotgun sequence
GCCAGGCAUGGUGGUUCGUGCCUGUAAUCCCAGCUACUCAGGAGGCUGAGUUGGGAGGAUUACUUGAGCCCAGGAGGUGGAGGUUGCAGUGAGCUAAGAUCAAGUCACUGCACUCCAGCCUGGGCAACAGAGCAAGACUCCAUCUCAA